UACGGGGGGGGUUAGUGUUAUUCAUCAUUAUUGGGCGUAAAGGGCUCGUAGGUGGCCAACUAAGUCAGACGUGAAAUCCCUCGGCUUAACCGGGGAACUGCGUCUGAUACUGGAUGGCUUGAGUUUGGGAGAGGGAUGCGGAAUUCCAGGUGUAGCGGUGAAAUGCGUAGAUAUCGGGAGGAACACCAGUGGCGAAGGCGACUACCUGGCCUGUUCUUGACGCUGAGGCGCGAAAGCUGGGGGAGCAAACGGG
rnacentral:rRNA from 1 species